AUUGAACGCUGGCGGCAGGCUUAACACAUGCAAGUCGAGCGAGCGGCGGACGGGUGAGUAAUGUCUGGGAAACUACCUGAUGGAGGGGGAUAACUACUGGAAACGGUAGCUAAUACCGCAUACCAUCAGAUGUGCCCAGAUGGGCUUAGCUAGUAGGGGGGGUAACGGCUCACAUAGGCGACGAUCCCUAGCUGGUCUGAGUGGUUGACCAGCCACACUGGAACUGAGACACGGUCCAGACGCCUACGGGAGGCAGAAGUGGGGAAUAUUGCAAAAUGGGCGCAAGCCGGAUGCCGCCAGGCCGCGUGUGUGAAGAAGGCCUUCGGGUUGUAAAGCACUUUCAGCGAGGAGGCGUUACUCGCAGAAGAAGCACCGGCUAACUCCGUGCCAGCAGCCGCGGUAAUUC
rnacentral:rRNA from 1 species